rnacentral:lncRNA from 1 species
AUGAAGUCUAAAGGAACAAGGGUAGUGGUGCACUGUGACCACGAACAACACGGAGCAACGGCAUCUGAAAGGCAGACAACGACAACAGCCCACAGAUGGUGCCAGUCAUCCCGAUAACGUACACCCGUUAAUUCUGUGAGUCAGGAUCCAGCCGCACUUGCUUUGUGCAACAGGGAGAACAUAUACGUGCUCUGACCGAGGAAGGACGGAGCACCUCCCUGAGCUACGAGAAUUCUAGUUGGCCGCAUUUCCCCUCAUUUCCGCGAGGAUCAACCCUGAGAAGUGGAAGCUCUUCACAGUCAGAGGCAUCUGGCAGGAGCAGAGGGACUCAGGCGAACCAAGAUUUCUGUUUGGAUACCGAUUAAUUCAGUCUCCCCGUCCCCAGAUUCCAGUGUCAAUACCUCCUGCCACUUUCUGAAUCCUGAGAGGAGGACUUACUUUUG